UCCCUCCGAAGUUUCCCUCA
rnacentral:snRNA from 1 species